GGUUAUCUACGAGGACACCAAGGUACUUUUCUUGGCAUGGGAUUUACUCAUCCAAGGCAAAUGCUCUUGUUUUAAGAGAUGCAAUUAUUUAUGGUCUGCAGUAUCAUGCUUUAUAGAAUCGCUCUAGUAUGGUAGCUCACAAGCUGGCCACGGAUCUUGGUGAAGACCCACCAAAAUUCACUCCCUGACCAGUGACCAGGCAGAGGGGCCUGUUCUCUUCCUCAUCCAAGCUUGUCCAUAGAAUUCUUUCAAGAAAAACGAACAGAAAAAGGGGAAAGUCAGAAGCUUAUACAUAGAUUUUCUUUCUGUUUUUUCUUAAGAUAUCUGUCCCUCCAAUCCCUUACUUUUGAGGUAUCCCAUAGUAAACAUGUCAUCACUCAUGAGUUCACAUGUAAGCUUAGCUUUUGUCAGAUGGAAAAAAGUUUUAAGACUUCAUUGUUUGGGAUGAAUAACCAGUCUGGUGAAUACCCUCAAUUUGCAACGUGACAAUUUUGAACCCAGAAUAGUUCAGAUGUUGAUGAUUCUUAUGUCUAGAUGCGUCUAUGCCGAAGAAAAUUAUAGAGGUGAUGGAUGAACAUAUUUUUUUUUUUGGGCUUAGCCAGCCAUGAAGAGGUGUCCAAUGAUGUUGUUGGAAUGCACGCAAGCUGUUUGUAGAUAUGCUCGAGAGAGAUGUUUCUUUAUUAGAAUCGACUGCCGUGGGAUUCAAAUGUGAAGCCCAAGAUUUCUUAAAUAACUACCACGAAUCCCGAGUA